GACGAACGCUGGCGGCGUGCUUAACACAUGCAAGUCGAACGGAAAGGCCCUGCUUUUGUGGGGUGCUCGAGUGGCGAACGGGUGAGUAACACGUGAGUAACCUGCCCUUGACUUUGGGAUAACUUCAGGAAACUGGGGCUAAUACCGGAUAGGAGCUCCUGCUGCAUGGUGGGGGUUGGAAAGUUUCGGCGGUUGGGGAUGGACUCGCGGCUUAUCAGCUUGUUGGUGGGGUAGUGGCUUACCAAGGCUUUGACGGGUAGCCGGCCUGAGAGGGUGACCGGCCACAUUGGGACUGAGAUACGGACCAGACUCCUACGGGAGGCAGCGGUGGGAAAUAUUGCACAAUGGGGGGAAGCCUGAUGCAGCAGCGCCGCGUGCGGGAUGACGGCCUUCGGGUUGUAAACCGCUUUCGCCUGUGACGAAGCGUGAGUGACGGUAAUGGGUAAAGAAGCACCGGCUAACUACGUG
rnacentral:rRNA from 1 species